UGUCAUUUAGAUUGCAUUCAGACAUAGGAACUUCAACAAGGCUAUAACAGGAUUGUUAGGCAAGAAUGAGGAGGUGGUGAGGUGCUGCUGUUACCUGGUGCCCCUGUUCCUUGGAACACCCUUUGCAGCAGAAUGCUCUGCCAGAAGAACCACCACAUUCUUGUGCAAGAGGCAUUGAAGAAGUAGGUGGAGAAAAGAUGGAGCAUUUCAUCUAACUCAUGAGAACUGAGGUUU